AACGAACGCUGGCGGCAGGCUUAACACAUGCCAGUCGAACGCACCUUUCGGGGUUAGUGGCAGACGGGUGAGUAACGCGUUGGAAUCUACCCUUCUCUACGGGAUAGCUCCGGGAAACUGGAAUUAAUACCGUAUACGUCCUGAGGGAGUAAGAUUUAUCGUGGAAGGAUGUGCCCGAGUUGGAUUAGCUUGUUGGUGGGGUAAAGGCCUACCAAGGCGACUAUCCAUAGAUGGUCUAAGAGGAUGAUAAGCCACAUUGGGACUGAGACACGGCCGAAACUAGAACGGGAGGCAGCAGUGGGGAAUAUUGGAAAAUGGGCGAAAGCAUGAAAAAGCAAUGACGCGUGAGUGAUGAAGGCGGUAGGGUUGUAAAGCUAUUUCAGAGGGGAAGAUAAUGACGGUAACAAAAGAAGAAGCCCCGGCUAACUUCGUG
rnacentral:rRNA from 1 species